AAUAGGAGAAUGACAAAUCAGAUUUUUCCUUCUGAUUUUCAGUUUUUUCCUCCUAAAAAAAUUUAAAUUCAACUAAAAAUGCUGAAAAUCAGAAGGAAAAAUCUGAUUUGCCAUUCUCCUACU
rfam:Gossypium hirsutum cultivar TM-1 unplaced genomic scaffold scaffold71.1, whole genome shotgun sequence